rnacentral:rRNA from 1 species
ACGGAGGGUGCAAGCGUUAUCCGGAAUCAUUGGGUUUAAAGGGUCCGCAGGCGGUAUUAUAAGUCAGUGGUGAAAGCCUACAGCUUAACUGUAGAACUGCCAUUGAUACUGUAGUACUUGAAUUCGGUCGAAGUUGGCGGAAUAUGUAGUGUAGCGGUGAAAUGCUUAGAUAUUACAUAGAACACCAAUAGCGAAGGCAGCUAACUAGGCCUGGAUUGACGCUGAGGGACGAAAGCGUGGGGAGCGAACAGG